AAGGCCUGCAGCUUGCUGCGGGUACUCGAGUGGCGAACGGGUGAGUAACACGUGGGUGAUCUGCCUUGCACUUCGGGAUAAGCUUGGGAAACUGGGUCUAAUACCGGAUAGGACAGCUGUUUAGUGUCAGUUGUGGAAAGUUUUUUCGGUGCAAGAUGAGCUUGCGGCCUAUCAGCUUGUUGGUGGGGUAAUGGCCUACCAAGGCGUCGACGGGUAGCCGGCCUGAGAGGGUGUACGGCCACAUUGGGACUGAGAUACGGCCCAGACUCCUACGGGAGGCAGCAGUGGGGAAUAUUGCACAAUGGGCGGAAGCCUGAUGCAGCGACGCCGCGUGGGGGAUGAAGGCCUUCGGGUUGUAAACUCCUUUCGACAGGGACGAAGCGUAAGUGACGGUACCUGUAUAAGAAGCACCGGCUAACUACGUGCCAGCAGCCGCGGUAAUACGUAGGGUGCGAGCGUUGUCCGGAAUUACUGGGCGUAAAGAGCUCGUAGGUGGUUUGUCGCGUCGUCUGUGAAAUUCCGGGGCUUAACUCCGGGCGUGCAGGCGAUACGGGCUGACUUGAGUGCUGUAGGGGAGACUGGAAUUCCUGGUGUAGCGGUGAAAUGCGCAGAUAUCAGGAGGAACACCGAUGGCGAAGGCAGGUCUCUGGGCAGUAACUGACGCUGAGGAGCGAAAGCAUGGGUAGCGAACAGGAUUAGAUACCCUGGUAGUCCACGCUGUAAACGAUGAGUGCUAGGUAUCGGAAAAAUUCGGUGCCGCAGUUAACACAUUAAGCACUCCGCCUGGGGAGUACGUGCGCAAGCAUG
rnacentral:rRNA from 1 species